rnacentral:lncRNA from 1 species
UAUCUUCAUUCCUCUUGAAAUAUGAAACAACCAACAUUACAAAUCGUGUCUCGUUUCCACCCAUUCUUUUUCCCAUUCCCAAUCCCCAUAGCCCCAACAAUAAUAUGUAAAAAUCUUACAAUAACAAGCGUCAGAAAAAAAGAAGAAGCGAAAACUAAAAAGAAAGUCAUUUUAUUUUUGGUUCAAGAAGUAGAACCUGAAACUCGAGGUGAAGUAACUGGAAAAAGAGGGAGAAGCCUAGGCUCCGAAUCUCGCGGCGUAGAUGCCGGUGAUGGAUGCAAAUAAAAACCCUUCUCUUUAAUUGCCUUCUCUUCAGCUUCCUUGUCUAGAUUCGCAUUAUUAUUUAUACAAUUCGUAUAAUUGCUGGAUCCAGAACGGUCAAAGGGGUCGGGUAUCAAAGGAGUGACCGGGCUAAGAGCCAGAGAAGGGAAGUCGAGAAUGCUAGGGGAGAGUAUUUCGGGUUUACGAGGCGAAAACCCGGAAUUGUUGGAGCCAAAAGCCGGGUUCAAGGGGUUGAUUUUGAGAUUCUUGAGGGAGCUCCUUCGCUCGUAAAGCCUAAACCCAGAAUUCUGCUUGUUUUUGGGGAUGGAUUUGAUCGGAGGGAUAUGGGUUUUGGGGUUUGAGUCGGAGAGAGGGGAGGGAGUGGGUUUGGUGGAAGAAGCGAGCUUGGCGGUCUCGGAGGAACCGGUGAGCAUCUGGACGACUUGCUUGAAAGAAGAAGUGUCGGCUUGGACGAAGGUCGUCGGGUAGGGGCUGGCGGAUUCAGAUCUGGUGAUUGGUUUGGGCUGUUGAGGCGGUGGAGUUGGCGGUGGCGGGUUCGUGUUGCUGCCGCUGCUUGUGCUGCUGGUGCUGCUGUUGGGACUGAGACUUUUCGGAGAUGCAAGGAUAUUGGGAUUCGUGGUGUGCCUCGGCGAGGUUUCCAUUUUGAUUUUUUGGAGGCGUUUGAAUUUUAGGACCAGAAGAAGAAGAGAAAGGGAGAAGAAAAAGAGGAGAGACUGAGGGAGGAGAUUAGAUGCGAAGAGGAAGAGUUUUUGGUACUUGGAAGAAAUGUUUUGGUGGGGACUUAGGUGUCUUUUUAGUUCUGUCUAAACCCUCAUUAAUGGUUGUACUGCUCACGCGCUUCUAUAAUUAAUUUUGAAGAAAAUUCGGCAGAGGAAAGACUCUUCUCUUCUUUUUGGAUACUUCAAACAUACUUGCAUUGUAAACUUAUUUUUUCAAUUUACUUUUUAUUAUUUUAAAAUUAUUUUACUCUCUACAAAAAUCAUUUCCAUGCAUUAUUUUUUAAAUAAUAACUCAGUGAGUUUCUUUAAACACUAGUAAUAUGGAUUAUUAUUUUACCAAUAAUACUAUAAUAAAUGGAUAGAGAUUUAAUUCCCUUAUGUGCAAUCAAAGCAAUUAAGUGACUACGAAAUCAUUUAAGAGUAUAUACUGCCAUUUUCUCAUUUAUGACCAUAUCUUUAUUUCAUUAUGAAUUUUAAAGAGCAUAUAUAUUGGUAAGUUACCCAAGACAAUGUUAGAUGUGUGCCAGAGACAACCCCCAAGUGCAAGCUAUGGACUUGGCCCACAAACUUAAACAAAAGUGUUGUUUACUUUCUUCAUACAUAAUUAACUUAUUUGGAGAAUGUAGGUUGAAUAUUGUUCACAGUAACAACCACCUACACGAAUCUUGAAUAUAUAAUAUAGAUAGUAAAAUAGAAACGUUAACAUUAUUAAAUAAUUAAUUAAAUUAUAAAUCAAAAGUUAAUGCAUCAUAAACAACAAUUUAUAAAAUAAAAUAGCAUAAAAGAUUAAACAUAAAUACCUCUAGCCAUUACUUGAACAAGAUGCCAAAAUUCAAAUGUUGUAACACCACUGUCAAGCACGCCAAAUCACCGAUAAGCACGUUAAAUUUAGUUGUACGAAAAAUUAAAAACUACUAAAGUCUUCUAAGCACUCUAAAACCUCACUAGAUGGUAUCUUUUUGUUCUUGAUUUUUCGAGAACCGUAUGUUAAUUAGUAUUUGUAGUGGUAGUUCCCCAUAAAUAACCACUAUCACACAUACAAAUGUGAGAAAGUGGUGGGCAACAAAAUGUGGGCAUGUGAGAACAUAGGAGGCCUUCCUAUGAACCAAUAACAGUUCCAACAUGGUAAAAUUACAUUUGAAUCUCUCAAAAUUUUAUAAUUCAAUCUUGUCCUAUUUAAAAGAAAUUAUGACUUUAUCCUUACCGUGUGCAAUAUAUCUCUCAAUAUUGUCACUCCGCAAAACCAAUAAAAUUUAGUUAAGGGUGAAGAUAAAGAAUAUAAAUGGUUGGAGGUCAAAGAUCUAAAAAUGGGAUGUACCCUUUAUUGAAGAGGACGAGGGUGGAGGGCCUACUCUUUGGAUUCGCCCUGCUCAUAGGGUUUGAGAUUUGAGAUCUCACUGAAAUAAUAAUUUUAGUAAGAACUGAAUUUUUAAGUCUGUAUGAUGUAGUAUGUAAUAAUCAGUACAAAAUAAUUUACUUAUUCCUUAAAUUUAUGUAGCACAAAGUUAAAGUAAUUAAUUGCUAAUGUUUUAAGCAGUAGUUAUGCGUUUCCUUUUUCAAUUAUUACAAAUUGCCUUUGAUAUUGCUUGUAAAUUAUUAGAGGGAGCUGAACACACGCGGUAAAAGCGAGAGCGUAGAUCGGAA